rnacentral:rRNA from 1 species
CACGUAGGGCGCAAGCGUUGUCCGGAAUUAUUGGGCGUAAAGAGCUCGUAGGCGGUCUGUUGCGUCCGCUGUGAAAACUCGGGGCUUAACCCCGAGCCUGCAGUGGAUACGGGCAGACUAGAGGUAGGUAGGGGAGACUGGAAUUCCUGGUGUAGCGGUGAAAUGCGCAGAUAUCAGGAGGAACACCGGUGGCGAAGGCGGGUCUCUAGUACGGUACUGACGCUGAGAACGCGGAAAGCGUGGGGAGCGAACAGG